UUCUUAAAGCUUUUCCCUUCUCUCGGACUCUCUCCUCCCUUGCUCUUCCUUCCCCGGCGGCGACGACUGGGCGAGCGGCGGCGCCAUUCGUCCUGUCUUCUCCCUGCCCUUUGCCGGCGAUGAGCGCAUCCUCCAGGGUUCUUUGCAAGUUCUUCAUGCAUGGAGCUUGCUUGAAAGGAGAGUAUUGUGAGUUCUCCCAUGACUGGAAAGAUCAAGCGAAUAAUGUUUGCACAUUCUACCAGAAAGGUGCAUGCUCAUAUGGUAGCCGUUGCAGAUAUGACCAUGUCAAAGUUUCUCGUAACCCUACAGUGCCUCUGCCAUCACCAUCACCAUCGUCAAGUACUGCAAGACUUGCAUCUACUUCUCGUCAACUUUCAAGUUUCGGUCAUCCUCCUCGCGCGGGACACCAAACAGAUUCAAGCACUCAAAGAAAUCAGAUAUCUGUGGAUGUGCCAGCACAUUCUGCCAGUAAGCCUGCAUGGAGAAAUGAUUUUCAACAUGUUGUUUCAGAGGAUGGAAUUGACUGGUCCUCUAACCAAACUUUGCAAAACCAGACAUCAUUGAAACAUGCUGAUCUUCCUAUUUGUUCUUUUGCUGCUGCUGGCAAUUGUCCUUAUGGGGAAGGGUGCCCUCAAAUGCAUGGAGAUCUUUGCAGUACCUGUGGAAAAAUGUGCUUGCAUCCUUAUCGUCCUGAUGAGAGGGAGGAGCAUAUCAAGUUAUGUGAGAAAAACCACAAACGCCUUGAAGCUCUGAAACGCAGCCAAGAGAUAGAAUGCAGUGUCUGUUUGGACCAUGUGCUAUCAAAGCCUACUGCUGCUGAAAGAAAGUUUGGACUGUUAUCUGAAUGUGAUCAUCCUUUCUGUAUUGCAUGCAUUAGAAAUUGGCGUAGCAAUUCUCCUGCAUCUGGUAUGGAUGUGAAUUCAGCACUAAGGGCAUGUCCAAUAUGUCGCAAACUUUCGUACUAUGUCAUUCCAAGUGUUCUUUGGUACUUCUCCAAGGAAGAGAAGGAGGAGAUCAUUGAAAGCUACAAAUCCAAGCUCAAGUCUAUAGAUUGCAAGUACUUCGAUUUUGGGACUGGCUCAUGCCCCUUCGGUACAAGUUGUUUCUACAGGCAUGCCUAUAGGGAUGGACGCUUGGAAGAGGUCGUACUGCGGCAUCUUGAUGCUGAUGAUGGAAGUACAGUAAUUGCAAAAAAUAUCAGGCUAUCAGAUUUCCUCAGUCGGAUGCAUCUUUAGGGAUUACCAGCUGUAUAUAUAUAUAUCAAUGCAUUCUGGGAUAUCAUUAUCCACCAAUUAUUUGCAAUAUUCUGAAGAGCAGUUUAACUUGAGGCAUCUUCGGAAACCACAGCUUUCUCUCCAUUUAGUGGUGGUUGCUUUGUCGCCAGUUGAACAAAGAAAUUUUGAAGUUCUCUGCUGUCUGGCUAGAUGCCUGGAUGACCUCUUGAAAGAAGCACAGUUGACCCAAGGACGACGGGGAAACAGUCCCAGAAGAAUUGUGCUGGAAUGUCAAAGCAGAAGUAAAACAAUUUAUAGAUUUCACUAUAUGCGCUUGAGUGCUGGUCUUCUGGGUUGCCAGUGAUUCAGUAGAACAUUUCCUGGCUGUCAGUAAAAUGGCAGGUGUGUGUGUAAAAUACUUCCCUUCUACCUUGGCGCUCAUAUUGUGUUGAGGAAGGGUUCAGCACCGUUGCACCAAUCAGUCAACUGAGGCCAUUUGGUUGUAUUAGUUAUUAUACGGAAGGUCGACAAAACAGAAAAUGAAACGCAGAAUGGUCAUUGUCCUACAGCGAAUUCUCCUACAGCUGAGUCGAAGUGGUAAUAGUGCUUAAAUUUAUGUGAAAAUUAACGAAUGACCACAUGAUGGUCACUAUUCUGCAGUGGUUUUCAAGUGCAAAA